GAUGAACGCUGGCGGCGUGCCUAACACAUGCAAGUCGAACGGAGUCGUUUUGGAAAUCUCUUCGGAGAUGGAAUUCUCGACUUAGUGGCGGACGGGUGAGUAACGCGUGAGCAAUCUGCCUUUAAGAGGGGGAUAACAGUCGGAAACGGCUGCUAAUACCGCAUAAAGCAUUAAAUUCGCAUGUUUUUGAUGCCAAAGGAGCAAUCCGCUUUUAGAUGAGCUCGCGUCUGAUUAGCUAGUUGGCGGGGUAACGGCCCACCAAGGCGACGAUCAGUAGCCGGACUGAGAGGUUGAACGGCCACAUUGGGACUGAGACACGGCCAAGACUCCUACGGGAGGCAGCAGUGGGGAAUAUUGCGCAAUGGGGGAAUCCCUGACGCAGCAACGCCGCGUGAUUGAAGAAGGCCUUCGGGUUGUAAAGAUCUUUAAUCAGGGACGAAACAAAUGACGGUACCUGAAGAAUAAGCUCCGGCUAACUACGUG
rnacentral:rRNA from 1 species